GACGUAGGGCGCGAGCGUUGUCCGGAAUUAUUGGGCGUAAAGAGCUCGUAGGCGGCUUGUCACGUCGGAUGUGAAAGCCCGGGGCUUAACCCCGGGUCUGCAUUCGAUACGGGCAGGCUGGAGUUCGGUAGGGGAGAUCGGAAUUCCUGGUGUAGCGGUGAAAUGCGCAGAUAUCAGGAGGAACACCGGUGGCGAAGGCGGAUCUCUGGGCCGAUACUGACGCUGAGGAGCGAAAGCGUGGGGAGCGAACAGG
rnacentral:rRNA from 1 species